GAGGGUAUAGCUCAGUGGUAGAGUGUACGCCUAGCAGGCAUGAGGUCCGGGGUUCAAUCCCCAGUACCGCCA
rnacentral:tRNA from 1 species